GGCUUCCCUGUGUAGAGUGCGUGUGAGAUGGUGUUGACUGCUAAAAUAAACUACUCAAGAGCUAUGUCAUAACAAGUAUUCAAAAUGAUUUUCAUAUUCAGGAGAUUUAAGGUGUUAAAACGAUACUGAUCUUGUGAAUUUUUCCCAAGUCUCUACAAACCAACCUCAAAUUAUUCUAUAGCCUAAAACUUCCAACAAAAAUGCAAUUUUUAAUUAUUUAUUUUUAGAAAGAAAACAAAAACAAAACAAAACAAAGAACAAAAACAAAGAAAAUAAAGUAUUCUCUCCCCCACACUUAAAAUAUGCAUUGUCCUCAAUGAAAGAAGCAAAUAUAAAAUAAGAGAGAGAAGAGAGAGGAAAGAACACACCCGAGUAGUCAAGGAGGAUAGGUGAUCACAUAAGCAGCCUUUCCCAAAGAGAUAUAUUC
rnacentral:lncRNA from 1 species